GGUCACGUAUCUUAUGAAAGACAGCGGGCAGCAAGCUCUUCCAUCGCGCUUCCUGGCAGAAAUUCCACGGGGACUUGUCAAAAGGAUUGUUAGCUACGAUCACCAAGUGACCAACAUCACAGCCACCACGAACACAAUUGGAAGGAAGCGCGAGGAACGUGGAUAGGCAGUGGACGCGAAGGCAAGUGUUAGAAGAAGCAUUUUAAUCUCCAUCGGCAUGUCAGCUUUGUGGCCAAGAAGGUUUUAGCAUGAAUCAUUUUGCAAAUUGGGA